rnacentral:siRNA from 1 species
UUGUGAGUCUUCGGGUGUAUA